CCUACGGGAGGCAGCAGUAGGGAAUCUUCCACAAUGGGCGAAAGCCUGAUGGAGCAACGCCGCGUGGGUGAAGAAGGUCUUCGGAUCGUAAAACCCUGUUGUUAGAGAAGAAAGUGCGUGAGAGUAACUGUUCACGUUUCGACGGUAUCUAACCAGAAAGCCACGGCUAACUACGUGCCAGCAGCCGCGGUAAUACGUAGGUGGCAAGCGUUAUCCGGAUUUAUUGGGCGUAAAGGGAACGCAGGCGGUCUUUUAAGUCUGAUGUGAAAGCCUUCGGCUUAACCGGAGUAGUGCAUUGGAAUCUGGGAGACGUGAGUGCAGAAGAGGAGAGUGGAACUACAUGUGUAGCGGUGAAAUGCGUAGAUAUAUGGAAGAACACCAGUGGCGAAAGCGGCUCUCUGGUCUGUAACUGACGCUGAGGUUCGAAAGCGUGGGUAGCAAACAGGAUUAGAUACCCCUGUAGUC
rnacentral:rRNA from 1 species